GACGAACGCUGGCGGCGUGCCUAAUACAUGCAAGUAGGACGCAGUUGCGAACGGGUGAGUAACGCGUAGGUAACUACCUAUUAGAGGGGGAUAACUAUUGGAAACGAUAGCUAAUACCGCAUACUAGUAGAUGGACCUGCGUUGUAUUAGCUAGUAGGUAGGGUAAUGGCCUACCUAGGCAACGAUACAUAGCCGACCUGGAGGGGUUGUCGGCCCACCUUGGACUGGGAAACGGCCCAGACCGCUACGGGAGGCAGCAGUAGGGAAUCUUCGGCAAUGGGGGGAACCCUGACCGCGCAACUCCGCGUGAGUGAAGAAGGUUUUCGGAUCGUAAAGCUCUGUUGUUAAGGAAGCGGUACUUAACCAGAAAGGAACGGCUAACUACGUGCCAGCAGCCGCGGUAAUAC
rnacentral:rRNA from 1 species